rnacentral:rRNA from 1 species
GUGCCAGCAGCAGCGGUAAUACGGAGGGGGCUAGCGUUGUUCGGAAUUACUGGGCGUAAAGCGCACGUAGGCGGACCAGAAAGUUGGGGUGAAAUCCCGGGGCUCAACCUCGGAACUGCCUUCAAAACUAUUGGUCUGGAGUUCGAGAGAGGUGAGUGGAAUUCCGAGUGUAGAGGUGAAAUUCGUAGAUAUUCGGAGGAACACCAGUGGCGAAGGCGGCUCACUGGCUCGAUACUGACGCUGAGGUGCGAAAGCGUGGGAGCGAAACAGGAUUAGGAUACCCUGGUAGUCCACGCCGUAAAACGAUGAAUGCCAGUCGUCGGCAGCA